rnacentral:rRNA from 1 species
ACACGCUGGCGGCAGGCUUAACACAUGCAAGUCGAACGGACGUAGCAAUACGUUAGUGGCAGACGGGUGAGUAACGCGUGGGAAUAUGCCCUUUAGUUCGGAACAACUCAGGGAAACUUGAGCUAAUACCGGAUAAGCCCGAGAGGGGAAAGAUUUAUCGCUAAAGGAGUAGCCCGCGUCUGAUUAGCUAGUUGGUGAGGUAAUGGCUCACCAAGGCGACGAUCAGUAGCUGGUCUGAGAGGAUGAUCAGCCACACUGGGACUGAGACACGGCCCAGACUCCUACGGGAGGCAGCAGUGGGGAAUAUUGGACAAUGGGGGCAACCCUGAUCCAGCCAUGCCGCGUGAGUGAUGAAGGCCUUAGGGUUGUAAAACUCUUUUGUCCGGGAAGAUAAUGACUGUACCGGAAGAAUAAGCCCCGGCUAACUUCGUG